GGAUGAGUGGCGAACGGGUGAGUAACACGUGAGUAACCUGCCCCUGAUUUCGGGAUAAGCCUGGGAAACUGGGUCUAAUACCGGAUACGACCAAUCCUCGCAUGAGGGUUGGUGGAAAGUUUUCGAUCGGGGAUGGGCUCGCGGCCUAUCAGCUUGUUGGUGGGGUAAUGGCCUACCAAGGCGACGACGGGUAGCCGGCCUGAGAGGGCGACCGGCCACACUGGGACUGAGACACGGCCCAG
rnacentral:rRNA from 1 species